rnacentral:autocatalytically_spliced_intron from 1 species
GAGAGCAUUCUGUUCUGCAAUGAAGCCAAAGGCGUAAGCCAUGGUGGAGCGUACAGAAGCGAGAAUGUUGGCACAAGUAACCGCAAUGCAGGUGAGAUCCCUGCACGCCGAAAGACUAAGGUUUCCUUCGCAAUGGUGAUCAGCGAAGGGUUAGUCGGGCCUAAGGAGAUGGUGAAAACCGGAUCUGAUGGACAUACGGUUAAUAUUCCGUAACUUCUUUAUAUUUCGAUGGAGU